rnacentral:rRNA from 1 species
GUACGGGAGGCAGCAGCUAAGAAUCUUCCGCAAUGGGCGAAAGCCUGACGGAGCGACGCCGCGUGGAUGAUGAAGGCCGAAAGGUUGUAAAAUCCUUUUCUUGGAGAAGAAUAACGAUUGGAGUGGAAUGCCAGUCGGAUGACAUUAACUAGGGAAUAAGCCCCGGCUAAUUACGUGCCAGCAGCCGCGGUAAUACGUAUGGGGCGAGCGUUGUUCGGAUUUAUUGGGCGUAAAGGGCGUGUAGGCGGUUUCGUAAGCCCGGUGUGAAAUAUUCAGGCUUAACCUGAAAAACGCGCUGGGAACUGCGAGACUAGAGUUCAGGAGGGGAAGCUGGAAUUCCAGGUGUAGGGGUGAAAUCUGUAGAUAUCUGGAAGAACACCAAAGGCGAAGGCAAGCUUCUGGCCAUGGACUGACGCUGAGGCGCGAAAGCGUGGGGAGCAAACAGGAUUAGAUACCCCGGUAGC